rnacentral:ncRNA from 1 species
UUUUUCUGGAGAGAACUUUUAAAGUCGCCGAAGAGGCAAGCUUGUAAACGGAUCGUAUUUACAAAGUGAAACUUUCAGGCAAAAGGACAGAGAAA